UCACCAAAACCCUUCUCCAACCUUCUACCUUCUUCUGUUGUACCUUCACCCUUGUUUAUGUGUGUCGUCUGGGUUUGAUUGUUUGCCUUAAUUGUGCCAUUUAUGUGAUGAUAGAAUUUUGUGUUUCUUCAAAAGCAAUCGGAGCUGAUGGUAAGGACUGUGAAGAAUCAUCAUCACGAAGAAGAUGAUGACGAAGAUUUCAUUCGGAGAACAACUGACGGCUACUCACGGAAAGAUGGAAGGAUCUCUUCUCUAUUGCUUCCAUUCCGCUUCUGAAUGACACGCACAGGCAAGCUCAUCGCUUUUUUCCGGAUGUUAGCCCAUAUUCUCACCACUGCCAUCAUAUUCCCUCAUCUGGCUUUGGGUUGUUGGCUUCUUGAUUUCGAUCGUCAUGCACAACUGGUCGUGGAUUUUCCAUCUUGUGUGAAGUCAACGAAGAAGACGAAGGCCGGCUCCGCUGCUUGCUGUAGAGAUUUCUGUUUUGGUGGUAUCAUGUUACUACUCGUGGUGCCCAAUACAAUCCUAAAUUCAAUUUGUUAGAAAAGAUUAGCAAUCAGCAUAAUGUAUUCAAACGAUGCACUCCAAGUGUUUGUGAAAAUGCCAAUAUCAUUAUUUUUUAUUAA